GUUUUCCUAGUUCUGUAUUAAUGUUGAUUUUAACUUUUGGACCUUGUAUAUUAAAUAGAAUUAUUGAAUUAGUAAAAAAUCGACUAGAAGCUACACACCUAAUAGGAAACUAUAAGGACCU